rnacentral:rRNA from 1 species
UACGUAGGGUGCAAGCGUUGUCCGGAAUUAUUUGGGCGUAAAGAGCUCGUAGGCGGUUCGUCGCGUCGGCUGUGAAAUCCCGAGGCUCAACCUCGGGUCUGCAGUCGAUACGGGCGGACUGGAGUUCGGCAGGGGAGACUGGAAUUCCUGGUGUAGCGGUGAAAUGCGCAGAUAUCAGGAGGAACACCGGUGGCGAAGGCGGGGUCUCUGGGCCGAUACUGACGCUGAGGAGCGAAAGCGUGGGGAGCGAACAGG